rnacentral:rRNA from 1 species
UACGUAGGGACCGAGCGUUGUCCGGAUUCAUUGGGCGUAAAGAGCGUGUAGGCGGCCAGGUAGGUCGGUUGUGAAAACUGGAGGCUCAACCUUCAGAGGUCGACCGAAACCAUCUGGCUAGAGUCCGGGAGAGGAGAGUGGAAUUCCUGGUGUAGCGGUGAAAUGCGCAGAUAUCAGGAAGAACACCCGUGGCGAAAGCGGCUCUCUGGAACGGUACUGACGCUGAGACGCGAAAGCGUGGGGAGCGAACAGG